UACGAUCACCGAAGUUAAGCAACGUUUUGCCUGGUCAGUACCUAGAUGGGUGACCACCUGGGAGUACUAGAUGCUGUAAG